rnacentral:rRNA from 2 species
AAAAUGACUCUCGGCAACGGAUAUCUCGGCUCUCGCAUCGAUGAAGAACGUAGCGAAAUGCGAUACUUGGUGUGAAUUGCAGAAUCCCGUGAACCAUCGAGUCUUUGAACGCAAGUUGCGCCCCAAGCCUUUAGGUCGAGGGCACGCCUGCCUGGGUGUCACACA